GAUGAACGCUGGCGACGUGCCUAAUACAUGCAAGUCGAGCGAACAGACGAGGAGCUUGCUCCUCUGACGUUAGCGGCGGACGGGUGAGUAACACGUGGAUAACCUACCUAUAAGACUGGGAUAACUUCGGGAAACCGGAGCUAAUACCGGAUAAUAUAUUGAACCGCAUGGUUCAAUAGUGAAAGACGGUUUUGCUGUCACUUCUCGAUGGAUCCGCGCCGCAUUAGCUAGUUGGUAAGGUAACGGCCUACCAAGGGGACGAUGCGUAGGCGACCGGGGAGGGUGAUCGGCCACACUGGAACGGAGACACGGUCCAGACGCCUACGGGAGGCAGCAGUAGGGAAUCUUCCGCAAGGAGCGAAAGCCUGACGGAGCAACGCCGCGGGAGUGAUGAAGGUCUUCGGAUCGUAAAACUCUGUUAUUAGGGAAGAACAAAUGUGUAAGUAACUAUGCACGUCUUGACGGUACCUAAGCAGAAAGCCACGGCUAACUACGUG
rnacentral:rRNA from 1 species